UGAAGGAAGGCCCCCGGGUUGUAAAGCACUUUUGUCCGGAAAGAAAUCCUUGGCUCUAAUACAGUCGGGGGAUGACGGUACCGGAAGAAUAAGCACCGGCUAACUACGUGCCAGCAGCCGCGGUAAUACGUAGGGUGCGAGCGUUAAUCGGAAUUACUGGGCGUAAAGCGUGCGCAGGCGGUUUGCUAAGACCGAUGUGAAAUCCCCGGGCUCAACCUGGGAACUGCAUUGGUGACUGGCAGGCUAGAGUAUGGCAGAGGGGGGUAGAACUCCACGUGUAGCAGUGAAAUGCGUAGAGAUGUGGAGGAACACCGAUGGCGAAGGCAGCCCCCUGGGCCAAUACUGACGCUCAUGCACGAAAGCGUGGGGAGCAAACAGGAUUAGAUACCCUGGUAGUCCACGCCCUAAACGAUGUCAACUAGUUGUUGGGGAUUCAUUUCCUUAGUAACGUAGCUAACGCGUGAAGUUGACCGCCUGGGGAGUACGGUCGCAAGAUUAAAACUCAAAGGAAUUGACGGGGACCCGCACAAGCGGUGGAUGAUGUGUUAUUAAUUCGAUGCAACGCGAAAAACCUUACCUACCCUUGACAUGGUCGGAAUC
rnacentral:rRNA from 1 species